CAGCUUCUAAGUAACCAGUUAUUUGUUCUUCUGACUUUCUUGUCGAUCAGUACAACAGUUUUUGUAUUCUUUGGAUACAAACUUUACAAGAGCUUGAAGGAGAAAGAACGUAAACGUGAUGAGAAAAAGAAACUUCGUCAGCAAAAGAAGAAAAAGUAAAUUUUAUGAUGUGUUGGAGGACAAGGAAAAGAAGUUUGGGGUUACACACAGACUGGCUUGCAGUUGUACAAAAAUGCACAAGUGGCCAGAGCUUUUAUGGUUGAAAUCAUAAAUUCAGGUUACAUAUAAGAAGGAAUGGAUUCAGUGAUUUGAAUGUGAGCAAUAAGAAAUUUGCUAACCAAAAUGGUCAUUAAUGUAUUUCAAUCAUGAUGUCUCAUCAGUCUUGAUACUGUAUUCAGUCUUCUCAUAUUGUAUUUUAUUUCUGUUGUGUUCUUAAUGUUAACACUACAAAAUUUCAAAUACCAGGGAUGCAUGUAUUCUUACUAAAGACUGCAAGUUAAAGCUGUUGUAAAACUGUUUAAUCAUUGGAUCCCUGGCCAUCAUGCACAGUUGGUUUAAUUCCUUCUUGUUUUCUUGUUGGAGAAACUUUUAAUAAAUACCUUGUACUAAGAGUUAAAACUGCCAGUUUCAUUUUUUAUCUUGUAAUUUUUUAUUAGGUUAUACGGUUUUAAUUAUUUGGUGGUGUUUUGUAAGGUGCUACUGAAAUUGCAUUUGUUACUAAAUCACCGAAUAAAUUAUCUUGUACUUAACUGUGUAAGACUGUAGAAGUAUUUUUCAGUGACAAAUUUUAAUAUUUCUUAUUAUAGUAUUAAUGCAAAUGAUCUUAUUUUCUCACAAAUAGUUUUAACACGUGUUUAAAUAUAUACAUAUGUACUGUAACCAGAGAAUUCAGCAAUUGUAAGUACAGCUUGGAAAAUAAGUAUCAGUAGUUUGUUUCUGUGUCUUGCCACACAGGUUUGAUUUGUAUGUAACCUUGUUAUGAAAUAGUUGGUUUUCCUACUUGCCUGCUUGGAAAAUAAUUGUGACAUUUAGUAAGAAAAUACAUGGCAUUGAUACAGGACAUCAAAUACUAACGAAUGCACAUUUUAAUGUUAUUUACUUACAUCCACAGAAGAGCUUUUCUCCUUUUCAUUUUUAUUUUGAUAGAUCUAAAUAAUAGCUACUACAUUCUCUCAGAUUGUUUAAAUGAACGUAAUAUUGUAAAAGGACUAAGAGUUCAGUACUUCAUAUAACAUUGUUCAGAUUUGAAAUUUUAAUGAUAUCCAUAUGUGAUCAGGUAAAGAAGCGCCAUGUUUUUCAAAGCGCUAUGGAAGCACAGCCUUUUUAACAUUGUUGUUAUUGCUGUUCCAAACUCAUGUCGAUAAUUUAUAAUUAUUAUAAUGGUGUAUUGACUCUGCAGUCUCGGUUCCAUGUUAAUGUUAACAUUUCAAAUUUUAAAAAUUAAUGCAGGUAUAAAUGAUUUAUUAUUCAAACCUUUAAUUUAGUUUUAAUAAACAUCUGUAAUUUCAACUUUCUCUCAGUAGUAGGUGAUGCUGUCUAAAACUCACGUGACUGGAAUGUCCUUUGUUGCUACAGAUUAACCAUUUUUUAUUAAAAGGCAGAAAGUUAUUAUCCUUCUGAGGCCAGGUUCAUUAUACGUAUUAUGGGUUUCAAAAUAGCGUCAAGGUAAAGUAAUUUUUCUAUGGAAAUCUUAAUAAAAAUGUAGUGUGGAGUACAUUUCCCAUUUGCCAUGAUCUAGAAAUUUUUUUUGAAUAUAACGUUCAGUCUACAGAGGAAAAUUAAGGUGGAAACAUUCCAGUAAUUAUGAACCAUUUGAACUAAUGACUUGUGAAGUGUAAAAUCUUCAUUGCUGGGUUCAAAUAUUAUUUUAUAAUAACAAUUAAUAUUGAAAGUUAUUUAUACAUGAUCUCAUUGCAGUGAUAUUGGAAGUCAGUAAUAUAUGUAUUCUUAUCAAAUCCAAUCUGGUAUAAAAUAAGCAGUUUAUAUCGAGAAAGUUUUUGUAGGUUAAAAUAAUUUAUAACUGCUACACAUUAUAGUCUGCCCCUAGAGAUUAUUUAUUGCAUCUUUGCAUGUUGCCAAUAUGAGCAACAUUCCAUUUUUCAGUUGUUGAUCGUAGUUUUGUUUUUAUAGAUCUUCAGUGAUUGCGACCAUGUCAUUCUUAAUGUUCUUUUAAAUAAGUAAUUUUGUUCGUGCACUUGUAACUACCUCAUAUUCACUUAGAUAUUCUGAGAGUAAGUGGGGAAUUUUAUGCUGGAGCUCAGAGCUGUGACAGCAAAACAACAUGUUUCUUGUUUUCUGAAACAUCAUGAAAGAUAAGACAUUCAUGUAUAUAAUGAAUAGAAAUUAUUAUCAAAACCAGGUGUGUGAAAAGGGAGGAGCAUUUGACAAAAAAGGACCUGUAUACACAUUGACAUAAGACAGCACAUAUUAUGCCAAACAUUAGUUGUGAACUCAUCUUUUGCUUGAAACAUUUGGAUUAGGGCACCAUCAUUUUCUCUCAUGUUAAGAAGAAUGUUCUGCAGUUUGUGGACAAAAAACUCAAAAUUAUUGAUUAGAUAUUGGUAAUUUGAACUAUAUAAACUUGUUUGAGGUGAAUAUCUUCCAAAUUAACAAUUUUUAUUAACUAAUAAAUGAAUUUUUGGCAGUGGUAUGUUGGCAUUGGUAAAAUAAAAAUAUUGAGGAAAAUAUUUGAAUUACAUGACAAACUAACAAACAAACAUUGGUUGGUGAUAUUUGCAAUAUCAGAUGCAGUAGUAUAAUAAUUCAUUUGUUGGUCCACAUUGUAAACUGUAGACACUGAUUUUAUUGUGGGAUAUUCAGUUUUUUUAACGGAAACCAUAUAGAGGGUGGAAAUUUGGUAUACUUCCAUUUGUGAAUAGCAGUGCAUUAGGUGAGCAUGUUUUUAAGAUGAUAAUGCUAGACACUAGCAAUUAUCAGAUGAAAAGUUGGCUCCAUGGAGCAGAGUCUUUUUUAAGAAGCGAAAGUCACUCAGGUAAUUAAUAAAUUUCCCAUCUGUUACAGAACCUGAAGGUUCAAUACAUUGUUCAAAAGACUGCCACUGAUCCCUACUAAUAAAUACAGAAAUAAACAAGAAUAAAUUCACUUUUUAUCAUACUGAAAUAUUUGAUAUAAAACCCAGUAUUAGGGCUGUUAGCUGAACUUCAACUCAUGGAUUUAACAGUUUAGCAUUAUGCUAUUGCAGUACAUGGCCAUCUGAAUCAUGUGUAAGCCACAAAACACAGACAUUUGAGGUAAGACAAAAUUAAAUUAAAACAUGUAAUCAGUCUGAACACUUCUCAUAGUUUGUUUGGUGAUACUGUGUGUGGUAACUACAGAGUUCUUGAUAAAUGAAAUGAGAGUUGGUAGAAUGAUACAAAUUUUAAGUUGGGAAGAAUGGGAAAGAGGUAAAGUACUAUUGUGGCAUUACCAGGAGAGAUGCAAGAACAAAUCAAUAUCCCAGCUGAGAUUCGAACUUUUCACAGCAAGUUAUAUUUGUUGCCAUCCUGGUGAUUUUUUAUCUUGUCUAAAAUUGUUUUCUUAUUAAACAUGAAAGGAUUUAAUGAGUUCUCAAUCACUACCACAAUAAAUUCUGUGUGCAGUAGUUUCUAGCUCUACAAGUUUUAGAGGUAGCUGGCAUACCAUAAGUUAUAUAUUUUUCUGUCAGAUUAUCUGAAAGUAUUGUGUCCGGUGAUUUAGUAGUUGGUGUAAAUUAGUUUCUCUUCAACAAGUUUCAACAAAAUCGUUAAUGUUUGGAUAAAUGUUAUGUUGGACGUAAUAUAAUUUAAAAAGAAAGAUAAAUUGAAAGAGUGCUUUCAUUCUCAAGACAUCUUCAGAAAAAUUACAAGUUUUAAAAUAUUUUCAAGAAUAUAUUAUCUGGAAAUGAAGGGAAUUUUUGCUUUGGGUCUGAGGAGCUCUCCUUUAGUAAUACCAACAGUUAUCACAAAAUUUUUGUAGGUGAGGCAGUCUGUUUAUGGUCACUGUAGCAUUGCAACAUGUUAUGUCAUUUUAUGUAAGUGUUUAAAUUGUGUUUUUACAUAGUCGCAUAACUGGAAUCUUGAUAUACAGUUGUUCAGCAGUAUAUUUAUAGUGAAGCGUGUUACUUUCUGUAAGAUGUUUUGAGAUGGUUAGGCCCUGUGACAGUUAACUUCUGUUAGUAUAAAUUUGGCAAAGUUACAGUCACUUUUGUAGUGUAUAUGUAUUCUAGAUUUUUGCGAGGGUUUAACAUUUGUUGAUAGCCAUAUUUGUUUAGUUGUCUGUAGUUUAAUUUGAGAUGUAACACUAAAUAUUGGUAGUGUGUUUAUAUAUGAUACACUAAAAUUGUCAUUGUUUUAAAAUUAUUAUUUUAUUAUAAAAGUAUGUGUAGCUUUAAUUGUCUCUUUUGUAAUAAAUUUUCAGAACUUACAACUCUGUUAUUCCAGCCUGUUACAGGAUACAGUGGGAUCAUAUUUGUACAUUCUUCAUUGGAACAUUGUUCCUCCAUUCUUGUUAGAACAAAAUACAUUUUUGUUAGGUGAUUUUUCCUGUCACUGAAAGCUUUACUUGUAGGCCAUGUGGGAUUUCUACAAUUUUACUGUUGUGUUAUUCAUGUGUUAAACUUUGGCAUAAAAAUUGUAUUUAAUUUUUGAUUGUGAUGUGGGUAGCAAAGCCAAAAGUAAAUACUGAAAUAUUAAAUCAUGUUUAUAGUGUUCAGUUCCACACAUAAAAAUAUAUUAUUAUUCAGUAGUGGUUUAAUUUACUUUUUUGUGAACUGAAAGCUACUGCAGCUGGCAGGACCCUGGCAUUAAUGAAAUGUGUACUGCUGCUUUUCAUGUAGUUGAUAGAUAUGUUUGUGUUCAAUCAAAAUACAAGUUUCCCUAAUGUUAUUUUACAAGUUAAUGUCCUUUAUAUAAAAUAUUAAGAGAUGAUGUUUCUUCACUUCUUACAGCUGCAGCAUAAAAAUAAUUACGUGGUGCCAAUGAAUUAUUAUUCUCUUAUUACUUCUAAUUGCUGUCAUGUUGUAAAAACUUCACUGGUGAUAGAUACUUUGUGUGAAGCAAUGAAAGUACAUUUUGAAACAAAAUAAGUGUUUUUUAGCUUUUAUUUUUUAUUUCUUAAUUUGAAAUUUCGGGAAUCAAUUUAUUGACAUGUUUGAAGUGACCUUGUAUUUGUUAGGGUAACCAAGUUGAAGGAUACAGAACAUAGACAGGUGUAGUUGUUAUGUGGAACGAACAUCAGAAAAUAUUUCAGAAUGUGAAUAAUUGAAGUCUGUCAAACUAAUAUUGUAGAAAACAGUUCCAAGAUGUAGAAUGGGGCUGUGAAAGGGUGGUGCAAUAAAUGUUCCUUAUGUUUAGUUA